rnacentral:rRNA from 1 species
AGGCCUUCGGACUGGCUCAGGGAGGUUGGCAACGACCGCCCAGAGCCGGAAAGUUGGUCAAACUUGGUCAUUUAGAGGAAGUAAAAGUCGUAACAAGGUUUCCGUAGGUGAACCUGCGGAAGGAUCAUUACCGUGCCGUGGCAGCCGGCCCUCAAAAAGCCUGGCUGCUCACCUGGCCACCCGUGUUUACUUUACCUGUUGCUUCGGCGGGCCUGCGGGCUUGCUUGCUGCCGGGGGACCCUGGUUCCCGGGCUCGUGCCCGCCGAAGACCUUCUAAACCCUAGUUAAAGAUUGGCGUCUGAGUGAUUAAGAAAUCAGUUAAAACUUUCAACAACGGAUCUCUUGGUUCCCACAUCGAUGAAGAACGCAGCGAAAUGCGAUAAGUAAUGUGAAUUGCAGAAUUCCGUGAAUCAUCGAAUCUUUGAACGCACCUUGCACCCCUUGGUAUUCCGAGGGGUACGCCUGUUUGAGUGUCGUGAAUUCUCUCUCAAAAAUCUCUUUUUGUCUUCUUCUUCUUAGAAGGGAAGAGAAUCGAGCUUUUUGGACUUUGGAGGUUGCUGAUUGCACUUUUGCUUGAUUGGCUCUUCUUGAAUACAUUAGCAAGGCUCUUGCUUUUCUGCCUUGGUGUGAUAAGUCUUGUCUACGCCGUCGGCCUUGAAGCAACUUGUGGAGCCCCUUUGCUUCUAAUCGUCCUUACUUUGGACAAGCAUUCACUUUUUUGAAACUUGACCCCAAAUCACGUGGGACUACCCGCUGAACUUAAGCAUAUCAAUAAGCGGAGGAAAAGAAACCAACAGGGAUUGCCCCAGUAACGGCGAGUGAAGCGGCAAGAGCUCAAAUUUGAAAGCUGGCUCCUUCGGGGUCCGCAUUGUAAUUUGUAGAGGAUGCUUCGGGAGCGGUCCCCAUCUAAGUGCCCUGGAAC